GCGAGAGAGACAGAAUCCGAGGCAGGCUCCAGGAUCUGAGCUGUCAGCACAGAGCCCGACGUGGGGCUCGAACCCACGCACCGUGUGAUCAUGACCUGAGCUGAAGCCAGACACUUAACUGACUGAGCCACCCAGGUGCCCCUCGACAUGCUUGCUUGUUGGAAGAGGUUUGCAGGAGACCAUAUUUAUGAAAGCCAAUACGUCUGGCAGAUGCAGGUGUACUUUGAUAAUAGAUUGAUUAGUUGUUAACCUUUGGCUUUCCUCGAUCACAAUCAUUAAUUCAUGCCAUUAUUGGCAGUGUAGGUGACCAUUAACAAUUCAUCAUGGGACAGUUUUUGCUUCCUUCUUCUUCUUUCUCUUGUUCUUCCUCUUCCUUACAGGUUAAAGUGCCGGACUCUGAAUGCCACGGAAGCGUCUUGCUGUCCGCCUGUUAACCUGUGACUCAUCAACUUGACUAAGAGAAAAUCAAAAGCUAGAAGACACAAAAGCUAGAAAGUUCACGGCUUUAGUGACUUUGUCAUUAGCCAGCCUUGGACCAAUGCUCCGAACCCACCAGAUGCUGCGUGGAGACUCCCACAUGAUGGAUGAAGAAGUCCAGAUGGAGAGAGUGUUCCAGUUGAGCCCAGGCCUGGCUGACUUGCCCUCUGAAAGCAUCUGCGUGAGUGACCUCAGGCAAGACCAAUGGAAGAGCCAACCAGCUAAUCCAC